UGUCCACUUCAGAUGGAGCCUGGGAACUGUGAUGUCACAGCCCACGCUCCAGCUGGAACGUCCAGCGCCCAGCAAAGAGCACAACACAACCAUUGGCCGUUGUGUUUGCACACUCUUCAACUUGCUCCUGCCCACUCUUCUUGUCACCUGCCCCCUGAUAACCCCAUCACUCCUGAAAGAUCCUGAGUGCCUGGAUUUUGUCAUCCAGCCCUGCAGGAUGCUCCCAUUUGUCCUCAGGAAGGCUGUCCCAGACAGAGAGGAGGAGAUGGAGGUGGAUAUUGAGAUUGAUACUUGAGAUUGAUGGAGGUGGAUAUUGAGAAGAGGAGAUGGAGACGGAGGGAGCAGACACUGGAGAGGAGGAGAUGGAGGUGGAUGUGGAUGUGGAAGAGGAGAUGGAAGUGGAUGUGGAAGAGUCCAUUGAGGACAUGGACAUUGAUUAAAAAGGUGCGAUGGAAAUCACAGAGACACCACCCUUUUGUAUAUAUGUUCUGCAGUUUGUUGUUGUUCUUUAGAAUAUAGAGUUUAGGGCAAUUUUUGACUUCUGUAAAUACGUUUCCCAUAAUUUUGCUAGGUAGGUUUUUAUGUAUAUAUGUU